rnacentral:rRNA from 1 species
UACGAAGGGGACUAGCGUUGUUCGGAAUCACUGGGCGUAAAGCGCACGUAGGCGGAUCGUUAGGUCGGGGGUGAAAUCCUGGAGCUCAACUCCAGAACUGCCUUCGAUACUGGCGAUCUUGAGUCCGGAAGAGGUGAGUGGAACUCCUAGUGUAGAGGUGGAAUUCGUAGAUAUUAGGAAGAACACCAGUGGCGAAGGCGGCUCACUGGUCCGGUACUGACGCUGAGGUGCGAAAGCGUGGGGAGCAAACAGG